GACGAACGCUGGCGGCGUGCUUAACACAUGCAAGUCGAGCGGUAAGGCCCUUUCGGGGGUACACGAGCGGCGAACGGGUGAGUAACACGUGGGUGACCUGCCCUCAGCUCUGGGAUAAGCCUGGGAAACCGGGUCUAAUACCGGAUAUGACUCCAUGACGCAUGUUGUGGGGUGGAAAGCCUUGUGCGGCUGGAGGAUGGGCCCGCGGCCUAUCAGCUUGUUGGUGGGGUGAUGGCCUACCAAGGCGACGACGGGUAGCCGGCCUGAGAGGG
rnacentral:rRNA from 1 species